rnacentral:rRNA from 1 species
UCACGGAGAGUUUGAUCCUGGCUCAGGACGAACGCUGGCGGCGCGCUUAACACAUGCAAGUCGAGCGAGAACCAGGCCUUCGGGCUUGGGGAAAGCGGCGAACGGGUGAGUAACACGUGGGCAACCCACCCUUGGUAUCCGGAUAGCCCGAGGAAACUCGGAUUAAUACGGAAUGGCCCAACAGCCUUUCGGGGCGGUUGGAAAAGGUAGCUUCGGCCUCCGACCAAGGACGGGCCCGCGGUGGAUUAGCUUGUUGGUGGGGUAAUGGCCUACCAAGGCGACGAUCCAUAGCUGGUCUGAGAGGACGAUCAGCCACACUGGGACUGAGACACGGCCCAGACUCCUACGGGAGGCAGCAGUGGGGAAUCUUGCGCAAUGGGCGAAAGCCUGACGCAG